UACAGAGGUCUCAAGCGUUGUUCGGAUUCAUUGGGCGUAAAGGGUGCGUAGGCGGCGCGGUAAGUCGGGUGUGAAAUCUCGGAGCUUAACUCCGAAACUGCAUUCGAUACUGCCGUGCUUGAGGCCGGGAGAGGUGAGUGGAAUUCCCAGUGUAGCGGUGAAAUGCGUAGAUAUUGGGAGGAACACCAGUGGCGAAGGCGGCUCACUGGACCGGUUCUGACGCUGAUGCGCGAAAGCGUGGGGAGCAAACGGG
rnacentral:rRNA from 1 species